rnacentral:rRNA from 1 species
AUGAAAUGUAGUACGAUUACAAAUACUAUUGCAAUCAUGCCAAGUAUUUCUCACAUUCUUGAAAUGAAAUUUGGCAACGCGCAGGACAUCAUCUACUCCAAACCAGUUACACUUACAAAUAUGACUUUUGAGGCCCUCUACAAUACACACAUAAUUCAAGAGACUGGUAACAUUUUACAAAUAUUAAGCUCCAGUCGGCAUAACCAGCAACACUCUGAUGGUAAACAUGGCAAGUGCAAUCACAAAACGACUCGGAUAAACAUCAGGGAAUCCACUAGGAUUUUCUCCUCUACUAGAGCAAGGCUCUCAACCAAAUUCCACCAGAAACAGAACAAGCAGAAGACGGAAAAUUCACUUUUAUAG